UAAAACGAACUAUUUCAAGUUGGUUGCAUUAACGGUUAAUAUUGCAUAUAAUGUAAUCUGGAAAUAUAUAAGCGAAAGAAUACUUGAUUCCUUAAGUUUUGAAUCAUUUCUGAAUGUAAAAAAGGAAAAGCACAAGUUGGUUCACUUGUAUGAAACAAAAGAUUGCUGUGAAUGUUUGUCGGAAAAGAUAAAUGGACAAAGAUUGAUAUCAAGAAAACAAUUACUCCUAUUAUAUAAUUCAGAUGAAACACAGCAGAUUAAAAGUCACAUUAAAUAUACUGGCGGGAAAAUGUCCCAAACAUGCAUCUGUAAUUAUUCUGCAAUAGAAAAAAUUAAUGUGAAAAUAGUUGAUAUCACACUCGCCAACCAUAUAAUUCAGCAAUGUGGAAAGCACGAGUUAGGGGUAAAUAAUUGGAUAGAACAAAUCAAAGACGUGCGAAACGAAAUUUUCCAUUUAUCAGAUAUACAAAAAUUAACAGACGAAAGAUUUAGCCGGAAAUGGACAAAAUUAGAAGGAUCCAUAUUGGGAAUAGCGCAACUAAUAGACACUCAUUAUGCCGAGCAAAUUAAGAACAAUAUUCUGCAAACAAAAACGCUUUCUUUUAUUCCUGAUUACAUGUUGAAGUAUGAGAUACUAUGUCGUGACUACUGGAAACAUAAAUGUGCUGAAUUUGAGAGAGUGCAGAUUCUAGAAAUUGAACAAAAAUCAGCCGAACUUCACUUUCAUGUGCCAGAAAUUUUCAAUAAAUCCAUGAAAACAGACUGCCAGACAACCAUGAACAAAAUACAAACCUUUGGAACCAUGGUUGACAAGAUUAAUAUAAUGAUCAACAUUUUUGGAAAUGAAGAGAACAGGGAAAUAUUAAAACCCACAGACUUAGAAGGAAAUGACGUACAGAGAAUCCACAUACCAGUAUUGUUACAACUUGACCUACCAGAAUCAUGGGAUAAACAUAAAAUUUUUGAAGCAGUAGAUGAAAUGAGAUUAAAAGGAACCCCCGACAUGAAUAUAAGAAUUAAAACUAUUUUAACUGAUGACCUCGACAUGAUUUCAGAAAUAGCUAAUACGAUACUACGCAAUGUUCACGAACUACGUUCAGAAAUAAACAAAAUUAUGUCUAGUAUGUUAUCAGAAGCCGAAAUUACCACAAAGUCAUGAUGAAGUGGGAUUUAACUUGAAAAUACCAGACAAAAUAGAAAUACCUGGAUGGUCAGAUUUAGCUGCUGGUAUACAAAUUGUGGAAGAGAAAGAUAUCAAAACAUGUUCUUUGGAUUUUUAUAACAAAAAACAAGAUAAAAGAAAGAUAGUUGAAAUUGAAAUUGAAAGCUUAUGGAGAUCACUUGAAGAAUACAAAUUUAAAUCACCAGCGGCAGAUGUUAUAGAAUCCUUAAAAACA